rnacentral:rRNA from 1 species
CUUGGAGUCCGAACUCUCACUUUCUAACCCUGUGCACUUGUUUGGGAUAGUAACUCUCGCAAGAGAGCGAACUCCUAUUCACUUAUAAACACAAAGUCUAUGAAUGUAUUAAAUUUUAUAACAAAAUAAAACUUUCAACAACGGAUCUCUUGGCUCUCGCAUCGAUGAAGAACGCAGCGAAAUGCGAUAAGUAAUGUGAAUUGCAGAAUUCAGUGAAUCAUCGAAUCUUUGAACGCACCUUGCGCUCCAUGGUAUUCCGUGGAGCAUGCCUGUUUGAGUGUCAUGAAUACUUCAACCCUCCUCUUUCUUAAUGAUUGAAGAGGUGUUUGGUUUCUGAGCGCUGCUGGCCUUUACGGUCUAGCUCGUUCGUAAUGCAUUAGCAUCCGCAAUCGAACUUCGGAUUGACUUGGCGUAAUAGACUAUUCGCUGAGGAAUUCUAGUCUUCGGACUAGAGCCGGGUUGGGUUAAAGGAAGCUUCUAAUCAGAAUGUCUACAUUUUAAGAUUAGAUCUCAAAUCAGGUAGGACUACCCGCUG